UACAGAGGUCUCAAGCGUUGUUCGGAUUCAUUGGGCGUAAAGGGUGCGUAGGUGGCGCCGUAAGUCAGGUGUGAAAUUUCGGAGCUUAACUCCGAAACUGCAUUUGAUACUGCGGUGCUUUGAGGACUGGAGAGGAGACUGGAAUUUUACGGUGUAGCAGUGAAAUGCGUAGAGAUCGUAAGGAAGACCAGUGGCGAAGGCGGGUCUCUGGACAGUUCCUGACACUGAGGCACGAAGGCCAGGGGGAGCAAAACGGGG
rnacentral:rRNA from 1 species